GGGAAGAAGCCAUGUGAGGACAGAGGCUGAGGCUGGGACGAGGUGAUUGCAGGCCGGGACAUGUGGUGGGCGGCCUGCAGCCAGCAGAGCCUCCAGAGGGAGUACGGCCCUGCAAGCUCCUCGAAUUCAGACUUCCAGCCUCCAGAAGUGUGAAGAAUCAAUGUUUGCUGUGGAGCACACAGCUGUGGGCUUUGGUUCCGGCAGCCUUAGGAAACUAAUGCCAUUUCAGAAAAAGCACAACAAUUUGCUGGGCACUCACAGAGGCAGGUGCCAAUCCUCACGACAGCACUUUGAGAUGGAGAAGUGGCUGCGAGCCCAUUUUACAGAUGGGGAAACUGAGCCCCCAACAACCCCAAGCGACUUUCCCGACUUCAGGCUCAGGAAGGCAAUGGAACUGGGGGUAGGAGAAAAGCUCGGAGGGGGCUCAGAGGGGCGGACAGACUCCACUGGGUGGGGCUGAAGUGGUGGAACUCUGUCCUGAAGACCUCACAAGCUGCAGAAGGGCACACGGAAGGAGCAACAAUGGCAUGUGUGCGAUUUGGCUGGUGGGAGAGGGGAGACACCCUAGCUUCUCCCUCAACAGCUGGGGCCCAGCGCCCUCCUCAGGGACCCCCAACCUGAAGGGAGAAGCUCAGGGCUGGUACCUGCAGGGACCCCUGAAGACCACAUGGAUAGGUAGAGAGGCAAGCAGGAGGGCACCGCCCAGAAACAGGCCUCCUUAGGAACAGAAGGACAGGCCUCCUUAGGAAGCUCGGGGACACCCAGUCCCCAGCCACCUGCAAAGGACCUCCCAAAUUGCCUGCAAAGGCCCUGCCAGUCACAAUAGCCCCUGCUGGGCACAGAGCUGCUCCAAGGGACAUGCACGCUGGGGAGUGGAUUCAUCCCAAGACCUACUCUGAACAGGAUGUCCCAGCCCUCCUCACCAAUAGGAGUCACAGGGGGGCACUGGGGACCUGCAGCCAGAGACCCCGCACAUCCAGCUGAAUCUUCCAAAUCCUCUACAGCCCCACAUCCAACCCCACUGACCGCCUGCUUGGAGAUUGUGCCAUAGUCCUUGGCACUGUUAUUUACCUCAUAUUCUCAGUUCAAUCACCACUCCCCUCUCUCUUUAACUUAAAUAUACCC
rnacentral:lncRNA from 1 species